rnacentral:rRNA from 1 species
CAACUUUUAACAAUGGAUCUCUGGGCUCUCGCAACGAUGAAGAACGCAGCGAAAUGCGAUAGGUAUGGGGAAUUGCAAAAUUCUGUGAAUCAUCAAAUCUUUGAACCCAAUCU